rnacentral:rRNA from 1 species
UACGUAGGGGGGCAAGCGUUGUCCGGAUUCACUGGGCGUAAAGGGUGCGCAGGCGGUCGUGUGUGUCAGGUGUGAAAUCCCGGAGCUUAACUCCGGAACUGCGCCUGAAACUACACGACUAGAGCAUUGGAGAGGGAAGUGGAAUUCAUGGUGUAGCAGUGAAAUGCGUAGAUAUCGAGAGGAACACCUGCGGCGAAGGCGGGUUGCUGGGCUGAUACUGACGCUGAGGCGCGAAAGCCAGGGGAGCGAACGGG